rnacentral:rRNA from 1 species
GAUGAACGCUAGCGGGAGGCCUAACACAUGCAAGCUGAGCGGUAGAGUUUCUUCGGAGACUUGAGAGCGUCGUACGGGUGCGGAACACGUGUGCAACCUGCCUUUAUCAGGGGGAUAGCCUUUCGAAAGGAAGAUUAAUACCCCAUAAUAUAUAGAGUGGCCUCACUUUAUAUUGAAAACUGAGGUGGAAUAAGAUGGGCACGCGAAAGAUUAGAUAGUUGGUGAGGUAACGGCACACCAAGUCGAUGAUCUUUAGGGGGCCUGAGAGGGUGAUCCCCCACACUGGUACUGAGACACGGACCAGACUCCUACGGGAGGCAGCAGUGAGGAAUAUUGGACAAUGGGUUAGCGCCUGAUCCAGCCAUCCCGCGUGAAGGACGACGGCCCUAUGGGUUGUAAACUUCUUUUGUACAGGGAUAAACCUAUUUACGUGUAAAUAGCUGAAGGUACUGUACGAAUAAGCACCGGCUAACUCCGUGCCAGCAGCCGCCGUAA